CUGGAGGGAGGGUAGCAGAGUGCAUCUUUCAUAGGGCACACUAUAAGAUGACACCGCCGCCGCAAGAAGAAGGGGGAGAGAGACGGACACAAGUAAGAAAUCUUCAAUGGCAAUGUGGGUUGCCGAGUCUCUGAAAAUUCCUUCUGGCUUAAUUGUCUUGUUUAUUCAACGAAAAACGAAGAUAGUAAUAAUAAUUAACAAAGGCAUAUCUAGUGAAGGUGAAUCUGGAAGAGAUGAGGGAAAGAUGAAGUUCGGAAAGCAGUUCAAGCAACAAAAGGUGGACUGGUGCUUACGUGGAUUAUAAUGGUCUUAAAAAGAAUACUGGGAGUGAUCUUGCAGUACAAGCAAAGCAGGCACCCCUCAACACCUUUGAGAUCCAUACACCACAAAUUAACUUUGCACAGACCCUUCAGACUUCAGUGGACUAAACCUGCAAUCUACCAAUCUCUCCAGUAAAGGAGAUAUUGAGGACCAAGUGAUAGAUGUUAACGCGUUGCCCCAGGAUGGCUGUAGAAAGUUUUGCACGACUCAGUUCCUGAGGGAGUCUGAAGAAGGAGGCGAACUAGAGGUUAAGUUCUUUAGGAAACUUGAUGAACAACUUAACAAGUUUAACACUUUUUACAAGGAUAAGUUGGACGAGAUGAAGCAUGAAGCAUCUUUGCUGAAUAAACAAAUGGAUGCCUUUAUUGCCUUGCGUAUUAAGGUGGAGAGCCCUGGUUUUGACGACUCUUGUGCGAAGAAAAGUUGUGAUACCGGUGUUGUUACCACAAACCCCUUGAAGAGCUGUAGCCCAAGCAGAGACACACCUUGAGGUAUGAGAACAUAAAAAGUGUGAUCUGUCAGCUGAGUUGCAAAGCAUCAAUAUGGCUUUUUAGAUGUUGAAUAAGAAGCAAGACACCAUGGAGAGAUCAGAAAAAUGGACCAAGAAUGGUUGUAGCUGUUUUAAGUUGGGUACAAAGUAGAAGAAGCUAUAAUCGAAGUAUUUUUUUAUUGGCCGAGUUUAUGAAGUUUUUGAUCUUCCUCACCCCGUAAAUUCAAAUCUGCAAGAUAUUUUGGUUUUAAUUCUGCGAAGGACUAUAGCUCUGUAUUAUAUGAAAUAUUAUUUUCAGGAUUGGAGGAUAUGGAUGUUGGACGCGGUGUUGAGAAA